rnacentral:rRNA from 1 species
AUUGAACGCUGGCGGAAUGCUUUACACAUGCAAGUCGAACGGCAGCACGGACUUCGGUCUGGUGGCGAGUGGCGAACGGGUGAGUAAUGUAUCGGAACGUGCCCAGUCGUGGGGGAUAACGUAGUGAAAAUUACGCUAAUACCGCAUACGAUCUAUGGAUGAAAGCGGGGGAUCGCAAGACCUCGCGCGAUUGGAGCGGCCGAUAUCAGAUUAGGUAGUUGGUGGGGCAAAGGCCCACCAAGCCAACGAUCUGUAGCUGGUCUGAGAGGACGACCAGCCAAACUGGAACUGAGACACGGUCCAGACUCCUACGGGAGGCAGCAGUGGGGAAUUUUGGACAAUGGGCGAAAGCCUGAUUCAGCCAUUCCGCGUGCAGGAUGAAGGCCCUCGGGUUGUAAACUGCUUCUGUACAGAACGAAAAGGUUUCUACUAAUACUAGGAGCUCAUGACGGUACUGUAAGAAUAAGCACCGGCUAACUACGUGCCAGCCGCCGCCGUAA